rnacentral:rRNA from 1 species
CCUACGGGAUGCUGCAGUGAGGAAUAUUGGUCAAUGGACGAGAGUCUGAACCAGCCAAGUAGCGUGAAGGAUGACUGCCCUAUGGGUUGUAAACUUCUUUUAUAUGGGAAUAAAAUGUUCCACGUGUGGUAGUCUGUAUGUACCAUAUGAAUAAGGAUCGGCUAACUCCGUGCCAGCAGCCGCGGUAAUACGGAGGAUCCGAGCGUUAGCCGGAUUUAUUGGGUUUAAAGGGAGCGUAGGCGGAUUGUUAAGUCAGUUGUGAAAGUUUGGGGCUCAACCUUCAAAUUGCAGUUGAAACUGGCAGUCUUGAGUACAGUAGAGGUGGGCGGAAUUCGUGGUGUAGCGGUGAAAUGCUUAGAUAUCACGCAGAACUCCGAUUGCGAAGGCAGUUCACUGGACUGCAUCUGACACUGAGGCUCGAAAGUGUGGGUAUCAAACAGGAUUAGAUACCCCAGUAGUC